UGGGGGAUAUUGCACAAUGGGCGAAAGCCUGAUGCAGCGACGCCGCGUGGGGGAUGAAGGCCUUCGGGUUGUAAACUUCUUUUGCUCUGAACAAGGCGCACCAUGGGGUGUGUUGAGUGUAGGGGUUGAUUAGCGCCGGCUAACUACGUGCCAGCAGCCGCGGUAAUACGUAGGGCGCGAGCGUUGUCCGGAAUUAUUGGGCGUAAAGGGCUUGUAGGUGGCUGGUUGCGUCUGUCGUGAAAGCUCAUGGCUUAACUGUGGGUUUGCGGUGGGUACGGGCUGGCUUGAGUGCAGUAGGGGAGGCUGGAAUGCCUGGUGUAUCGGUGGAAUGCGCAGAUAUCAGGAGGAAUACCGGUGGCGAAGGCGGGUCUCUGGGCUGUUACUGACACUGAGGAGCGAAAGCAUGGGGAGCGAACAGG
rnacentral:rRNA from 1 species